AAGAGGUUGUUGGAUGAAAAACUAGCCACAUGGGUUGGCCACCCUUAAUAAAAACAGGUCAAGUAAACAAUAAAAUAGUGACAAAAGGAAAGGCUUGAAGAUGGGGUUCUCACUUCAAAUUCCAAUUCCACUUCAACAAAAAGAAACAAAAGAACUGAGUCAUGGCAAUGCUACCAGCUUAUGAUCUUUCAACACCAGUCUGCAAAAGGACAAACCCACAGAUUUUCAUUUUGGGGACAUAAAUAGAUAACAUCUAUGAAAAGAUCCAAUGUUUGUUCCAACAAACAUAUGACUACUAAUAAUAUGACGUUUCAU
rnacentral:lncRNA from 1 species